GAGAUAGGGAACCCCACCCCACCCAACAGCUAUUUGUGCUCACAGCUCACUGUUGUGUACAGAGGUGGAGUAAAUUCCUCUGCCCCAGGCACACAUCUCUCAUACUUAAUCCACUCUCUUGUCUGGGCAAAGAUGUAUUUUGACCUUCCUCUGUCCUUCCAUAGCUGUCUGUGACAGCAUACAUGAAAGAGAAGAUUUGGGCACAGAUGGCUUGUACAGGCUGUGGUCCCUGACCCCAUCCAGCCAUCCCUUCCCCCCGGUGAAGGGUCAAAGGAGGGGCUGAAGGAAGUUAUUGGAGAGGCUCAUGUUGGACAGACAGACACAAUCAUACGUCCCCAGUGUUGAACCUGCAAACUAUUUCAGAUUCUGUGCCAGGCUGCUGUCCAACCGCAUAGCAUGACAAGACUGGGGUACAUCCCACGCUCCCUGUGCUGCUGACGUGGGAAGGAAGUUCAGGAGUGGAGUCUCAAGGGCUGUGGUCUGCAGUGGGACGAGACGCCUGCUGGUGAACUGCUGGGAGCACCAAACCUCGGAUCAAGAAGCUUGUAGACAAAGGUCAAUCCUGCCAGAUGCUCGGGACCCCUGAUUCACUCAGGCUGAAGACCCUUCUCCUCUCGUCUGAUGCUCAGCACCUUGACCAGCACAGGCUUUCUGCACAGUUUUUGUCUAAGCACCAGGUUGAUGAGUGCAUUGAGAAUCGUCAGGAACUCACAAGUCUGAAGGAACCUCAGAUCCAUCUGCUGGACUAUUUGCUCCAUGACUCACAGGAGAGUGAAAAGUUGAAUUACCAGCCCUUCCCUUUAAGAGGACAGAUAACACUUGCAAAGCAUCUGAAGAUUGAUCCCUCCCAGAACCAGAUCCUGCAGCUGGCUUCCACAAUGAUAGCAAUUCCCUGCAGGAUACAUAUAUAAUCUAAUUGUUAAAAGGCUUCACUUAUCUACUGGCCAGAUUUUGUUUUUUUAUUGGUAGUAAAUAAAACACGAUAUCAGAACUGAGAGCCUUUGAAA
rnacentral:lncRNA from 1 species